GGUGAGUUUUGUUCAGUUGGUAGGGACCAAUGCAUUUUAUAUGCAGGGGCCGGGGUUCAAACCCCGGACACCCCA
rnacentral:tRNA from 1 species